GAAGCAUGAAAAGUAUAGUUUGGACUAGAAAUUAAAGAGGAAUAUGGCUCGUAUCAGUGCGUCACUUGAUUUGGGUGCCUCAGAUUAGCCCAAGUCAAACUGGAAAAAGAAGUAAAAUAAAGGGAAACUGUAGUGAAAUUCUGAGUCCCAUUUCUGGAAGAUCAUGCUUCACAUCCCGUAAUUCAAAUGCACUGGAUGGAGCAAAUGACUUUGCCGUUGUACCUCUGCCAUGCUCCCAGCUACACCACACUGGCAAGUCAUGGAGAUGUGCUCAGCUGUGGCAGAUGUUUUCUUGAGGUAACAGCAGGUUUAUCUAUGGCUGAGCUCUCAUGAACAUGCAUCUUGGUUUUAUCCAGCUGGCUGGACCACAGUAUUGCUAUUAUCGCAGGAACAAGUUGCACAUGGCCAGGCACAAGGAAUAAAUGCUGAAGACUCACAGUGGACGAAGUCCAGGACUUUACAGCCCUCCCCACCCUCUCUUUGGGUGGAUGUGUGCUGGGUCAUGCCUGAAUCAGUGUUUGAUGCCUCGCUACAAAAGUAUUUCCUUUUACAGAUGGAAUCAAAAGUGAAUGGAAACAAUUGCUGACUGCAUCUGUGCCUGGAUUAAGGAAAUUGGCAGAGCAUCCUGUGUCUGCAGAGAGAACAAAUGAGUGCGUCUUUUAGUAUUCGAUAUGCGGAAUGAAGCAAUCCACAUUUAAUUUUUAUCUAAAGCUGAGAUGAGCCUGAAGUAUGCUCUAGAAAUUACCAUUUCAAUGGAGACUCACUGAAGAUGCUGGAGAGUUUGGGAGCAUCACAAAAUCCCCCCAACAGCCACACUUAGGGGUCAAGUGGGAAGUACAGCUUGAAGGACGUUCAGAGAACGUGCUGCUUCUAUCACAAGGGACAGUUUCACAACACACAUUGUUAUUUGUUCAAGGACAAAUCAUAUAGAAACUGCAAGGGAUGGGACACCAGCGGAAAACAUGCAAGCUAGAAAAUCAAACCCAGCCACCAGUGUAGAAAGUCGAUGCUGGUUAACUUCAUAUUCUUCAGCUUGCAUACAACAAUGUGCAAUGACUGCAGAAAGUCACAAUGUCUAUGUAAUUGCCUCUUUCAGUUCACGAGAAACAAAAGUAUUAUUUGGAAUCCUUUAAAGUGACAAGAAUAACAUCUAAAAUGAAACAUGAUUCACUGUGCUGGCAAUUUACUGGGGGGGAUCAUAAAAGAUCUCUUAGAAAGGAGGUAUUACAGAAAAUCUGUGUUUCUAAAAAACACAUGCCCAAGUAAUCUUUGUUCUCCUGGACAUAAUCAUAAUAUAAGUAACACAACAGCAGACAGCGUAUAUUCAGCCUCUCUGAUCUCAAGCAAGUUAUUACGCAGCAUAAGAAGGCUACAAUAUAGCUGGACUGACAAAACAUCUCGUACUUGUUUACAUUAAAGGACAAUAAUUUGUGAAUUCCAGCCAAAAAGGAAAGUUAGUGAAACUCUUGAAUGAAACAACUGGUGACAGUCAUGCAAACAGAUAGGGCUGCCUACCUCUGGUGACUUCAAGGUCAUAGCUAACCCAGUAUCACGUAUGGAUCACCAGCUAUUUCCCAGAAAAAAAAGGGUAUUUUUGCUUCAGUAGUCAUCCAAAGCAGUUCCCCAAGUCUGUCUGCAAAUGGAGGCUGAGGAAGACGGCAAGAACUAGUUGAAGCUUAAACAAACCAGGUCUUACUUUAAGUGAAAGGACCAUCCAUGACAACUAUUUGGUUGUGAUCCAUGGAUAAGAUGGGAGAGAGCAUACCUGAGAUGCUGGCACACACAUUGCUUCCUGGAACUGGUGAGUCACUUCACACAGCAAACCCCGUCUGACUUGGCAGACACAGGAUAGAGACAGUGCUGAUCCACGCACACCCUGCACCAGGGCUGGUGAAGGAGCUGAGAAACUGGUACCAUUACAACAGAUCCUUACUGGAGCACCUUGAUGCCUAAAACUCUCACUUGUGAUGCUUCCCCACAUGAAGUGGGUGUAAUAAUCUCACACUUGAUGCAGUAUCAGCCUGCAAGACCUAUUGCCUUUACUUCUGGAUUUCCUACCUUUGAAGAAGAGAACAAGAUUCAGACUGAGAAACUCUGUGUUUAGUUUGGGGUGUUAGACAGCUUGGCUGCCGUCUGUCUGAGCAGUGAUUGACUCCAGUUACAGAUCAUUUACCUGCUAGUUUCAAAGCAAGGAACAUCAGUAAUGCAGAUUGCUUGUCAUGCCUGUGACUGCAAGUGACAGCCCAGCCUUAUACCGGGCAAAGGAUCCAGGCAAGUCCUGCUGUGGAAGAAGCUGCAAUGUGGUAAAAGCAGAGAGAACUGGAAGGGAAGAAGUUGAAGAGUCAUCUUCAGAGAAGAAACAUGGCCCCACCACUGCCAACGGGCAGUGCGAUGCGGCUGCAACCCACACCAAGGUAUUUGGGUACAUGCCCAGAGGACAGAAGCCGUUGCCGAGGACAGCAAAACUCACAGCAAUACAAGUAAAUCCACAUGCAGGAGAAAUCCUGACCAGGACUGCUAAACCAGGCUGGAAUCAAGAAGUUCACGCCAGAGAAGAGAUUAACCAAAAGCAGCUCUGUUGCACGGACAAUAGCUUGUUUGAGUGGCUCUUCACCUUGAGCAAGGUGCUGUGCUGAUGCAGAGCAGGAGCUCAGCUCACCCCCAGUGUCCUGCUCCACACUGUGAAUCUGGGACUGCGGAUGCAGAGAGGAAAAGCUCCUCCAUCAUUUGCACCCAUCUAAAUAAAAUGACACUGAUCACA